rnacentral:rRNA from 1 species
GAUGAACGCUGGCGGCGUGCUUAACACAUGCAAGUCGAACGAAGCAUUUUACCGAAAUUUCUUCGGAGAGGAAAGUGAAAUGACUGAGUGGCGGACGGGUGAGUAACGCGUGGAUAACCUGCCAUAUACAGGGGGAUAACAGUUAGAAAUGACUGCUAAUACCGCAUAAGCGCACAGUAUCGCAUGAUACGGUGUAGAAAAACUACGGUGGUAUAUGAUGGAUCCGCGUCUGAUUAGCUAGUUGGUGGGGUAAUGGCCCACCAAGGCGAUGAUCAGUAGCCGACCUGAGAGGGUGACCGGCCACAUUGGGACUGAGACACGGCCCAAACUCCUACGGGAGGCAGCAGUGGGGAAUAUUGCACAAUGGGCGAAAGCCUGAUGCAGCGACGCCGCGUGAGCGAAGAAGUAUUUCGGUAUGUAAAGCUCUAUCAGCAGGGAAGAAAAUGACGGUACCUGACUAAGAAGCCCCGGCUAACUACGUG